UACCGCUUACCACAACAAGGAGCACUUCACCGUGUUUUAAAUGGGGAAUCGUGUGCAAAUCACGAGCUGUCGCGCAACUGUAAGUAACAACAGGCACAGGCAUUGAAUGUGCUGCCUGUGCUGUUAUAAGCCAGGUUACCAUCCUUGUUGAAUGACAACGC
rnacentral:ncRNA from 2 species